rnacentral:rRNA from 1 species
GUAACGGCCCACCAAGGCGACGAUCAGUAGCCGACCUGAGAGGGUGGCCGGCCACAUUGGGACUGAGACACGGCCCAAACUCCUACGGGAGGCAGCAGUGGGGAAUAUUGCACAAUGGGGGAAACCCUGAUGCGGCAACGCCGCGUGAGUGAAGAAGUAUUUCGGUAUGUAAAGCUCUAUCAGCAGGGAAGAAGAAAGACGGUACCUGACUAAGAAGCCCCGGCUAACUACGUGCCAGCAGCCGCGGUAAUACGUAGGGGGCAAGCGUUAUCCGGAUUUACUGGGUGUAAAGGGAGCGUAGACGGCUGUGCAAGUCUGAAGUGAAAGCCCGUGGCUCAACCGCGGAACUGCUUUGGAAACUGUAUAGCUUGAGUACUGGAGAGGCAGGCGGAAUUCCUAGUGUAGCGGUGAAAUGCGUAGAUAUUAGGAGGAACACCAGUGGCGAAGGCGGCCUGCUGGACAGAAACUGACGUUGAGGCUCGAAAGCGUGGGGAGCAAACAGGAUUAGAUACCCUGGUAGUCCACGCGGUAAACGAUGAAUGCUAGGUGUUGGGGAGCAAAGCUCUUCG